GUCGUGGCGGGAGUCCGACAUUUGUAUUUUUCUGGAGGUGAACUUCUCGGCCCUGGUAAGAACGCCCACAGGCUGCCCCCCCGCCCCCCCCAACCCCCGGCGCGCGUCGUCGGGCAGGAAGACGCGCCGCGGGGAGGGAGGCGGCGGCGCGGGGGGGCCGCCAUUGUAGCGCGCUGGCCCCGGGGGCCCCCCGCGGAGCUCAGAUCCCGAGUUGCGAUGGUCGACCAUUAGCUCCUUUUCACUUUGAAACAAUAGUCUCGGCCCUUUGAUACCCCUCCCCACGCACGCCCACGCCGAAACAAACACCAGGUUUCACUCUACAGGUCUCAGAAGUCUGAACCGAGGACUUUUUCCCCACCGCCCAGCUCAGUGGAGGUCCGUGGACUUGGGAGAUGGCAUUGUCAUGUAAACGAGGACCCAGGACGCAGGAGACUAAAGGCUUCAAGAGACCACCGAGGGACUCUCUUGAGGGGCCUCCACCCGACCACAGCCAAUGGCCGCCUUCCUUCCACCGUCCAUGGGCACAAUGGCUUUUAACGGCCUGCGGCUCAAUGGUGACGGGAGGCUGGCUCGGGACACCCCCCUGCCCCCCACCUCACAGAAAGGACACGCAACUCCCCCAACCCAACCCAGCCAUGCCGUGUGUAUUGCUGUUUGCCCUCAAGGUAAGUCCAACAGGAAGACCCACAAAACAUGUGCUCUGUACAACAUUCAUGCUGUGCUCGCUUAGUCCCAUCAUAAUGUGUAAAAAGACUUUUCAUGUUAACAUGCAUAGUCCCGUCAUAAUGUGUAAAAAUACUUUUCAUGUUGACAUGCAUAGUCCCAUCAUGUGUAAAACAACUUCAUGUUGACAUGCAUAGUCCCAUCAUAAUGUGUAAAACAACUUCAUGUUGACAUGCAUAGUCCCAUCAUAAUGUGUAAAAAGACAUCAUGUUAACAUGCAUAGUCCCAUCAUAAUGUGUAAAAAGACUCCAUGUUAACAUGCAUAGUCCCAUCAUAAUGUGUAAAAAGACUUCAUGUUGACAUGCAUAGUCAAAUCAUAAUGUGUUAAAAGACUUCAUGUUAACAUGCAUAGUCCCAUCAUGUGUAAAAAUACUUCAUGUUAACAGGCAUAGUCCCAUCAUAAUGUGUAAACGACUUCAUGUUAUAGCACAUAGUCCCAUCAUUAUGUGUAAAAAUACUUCAUGUCAACAUGCAUAGUCCCAUCAUAAUGUGUAAAACAACUUCAUGUUAACAUGCAUAGUCCCAUCAUGUGUAAAAAUACUUCAUGUUAACAGGCAUAGUCCCAUCAUAAUGUGUAAAACGACUUCAUGUUAACAUGCAUAGUCCCAUUAUAAUGUGUAAAACAACUUCAUGUUAACAUGCAUAGUCCUAUCAUAAUGUGUAAACGACUUCAUGUUAUAGCACAUAGUCCCAUCAUUAUGUGUAAAAAUACUUCAUGUCAACAUGCAUAGUCCCAUCAUAAUGUGUAAAACAACUUCAUGUUAACAUGCAUAGUCCCAUCAUAAUGUGUAAAACGACUUCAUGUUAUAGCACAUAGUCCCAUCAUCAUGUGUAAAAAUACUUCAUGUCAACAUGCAUAGUCCCAUCAUAAUGUGUAAAACAACUUCAUGUUAACAUGCAUAGUCCCAUCAUAAUGUGUAAAACGACUUCAUGUUAUAGCACAUAGUCCCAUCAUCAUGUGUAAAAAUACUUCAUGUUAACAUUCAUAGUCCCAUCAUAAUGUGUAAAACGACCUCAUGUUAUAGCACAUAGUCCCAUCAUUAUGUGUAAAAACACUUUUCAUGUUAACAUGCUUAGUCUCAUCAUAAUGUGUACGACAAUGUUAACAUGCAUAGUCCCGUCAUGUCUAAAGACUUCAUGUUAACAUGCAUAGUCCCAUCAUAAUGUGUAAAACGACUUCAUGUUAUAGCACAUAGUCCCAUCAUCAUGUGUAAAAAUACUUCAUGUCAACAUGCAUAGUCCCAUCAUAAUGUGUAAAACAACUUCAUGUUAACAUGCAUAGUCCCAUCAUAAUGUGUAAAACGACUUCAUGUUAUAGCACAUAGUCCCAUCAUCAUGUGUAAAAAUACUUCAUGUUAACAUUCAUAGUCCCAUCAUAAUGUGUAAAACGACCUCAUGUUAUAGCACAUAGUCCCAUCAUUAUGUGUAAAAACACUUUUCAUGUUAACAUGCUUAGUCUCAUCAUAAUGUGUACGACAAUGUUAACAUGCAUAGUCCCGUCAUGUCUAAAGACUUCAUGUUAACAUGCAUAGUCCCACCAUUAUGUGUAAAAAGACUCCAUGUUAAUAUGCAUAGUACCAUCAUAAUGUGUAAAAAUACUUCAUGUCAACAUGCAUAGUCCCAUCAUAAUGUGUAAAAAGACUCCAUGUUAACAUGCAUAGUCCCCUCAUAAUGUGGAAAACGACUUCAUGUUAACAUGCAUAGUCCCAUCAUGUGUAAAAAGACUCCAUGUUAACAUGCUUAGUCCCAUCAUAAUGUGUAAAAAGACUCCAUGUUAACAUGCAUAGUCCCCUCAUAAUGUGUAAAAAGACUCCAUGUUAACAUGCAUAGUCCAAUCAUAAUGUGUAAAAAGACUACAUGUUAACAUGCUUAGUCCCAUCAUAAUGUGAUUUUUUUUGUAAGAAAUUGCAUUUGAAAAAUGUUAUUGUUAAUAUGUAUUUUGCAGAACAUAUGUUAUUGUUUCUUUAUGAUUAAAAUGACUAUUAUUCCCGUGAGAAAAGUGUUAUUUGCAAAUAUCUGAUACUUGUAAAUGUUAUAUGGAGAAUAGUUAGAGAGAGA